rnacentral:rRNA from 1 species
GAUGAACGCUGGCGGCGUGCCUAAUACAUGCAAGUCGAGCGAACAGACGAGGAGCUUGCUCCUCUGACGUUAGCGGCGGACGGGUGAGUAACACGUGGAUAACCUACCUAUAAGACUGGGAUAACUUCGGGAAACCGGAGCUAAUACCGGAUAAUAUAUUGAACCGCAUGGUUCAAUAGUGAAAGACGGUUUUGCUGUCACUUAUAGAUGGAUCCGCGCCGCAUUAGCUAGUUGGUAAGGUAACGGCUUACCAAGGCAACGAUGCGUAGCCGACCUGAGAGGGUGAUCGGCCACCCUGGAACUGAGACACGGUCCAGACUCCUACGGGAGGCAGCAGUAGGGAAUCUUCCGCAAUGGGCGAAAGCCUGACGGGGCAACGCCGCGUGAGUGAUGAAGGUCUUCGGAUCGUAAAACUCUGUUAUUAGGGAAGAACAAAUGUGUAAGUAACUAUGCACGUCUUGACGGUACCUAAUCAGAAAGCCACGGCUAACUACGUG